rnacentral:lncRNA from 1 species
AGAUAGAAUAGAGAUAAUAUACAAAUAUUUAUCUUCAAAAGAAAAGAUAUUGAAUGAUAAAAAUAUUUAACAAAAAAUAAAAUAUUAAUAGUUGGAGAAAAGAGAGGAAUUAAAAGUUUGUUUCGUUACGUUAUUUAUUUUACAUAUGAAAAAAGUGGAAUUUUGAAAUUGAUAUAUUGACAGACCGAAAUUGAAAUGUGUACUUUUAUAUGUAGUAUAGAUAAUUAUUUAUUUAUAUAUUAAUAUAAAUUAUAUAAAUAUAAAAUAUAUGUAUUUGAUCUGUUAUCGAAUUGGAUCGACAUAUAUGAACUAGAUGACCCCAGCUAGUGUUCGCCUCUUUAAUUAAACGAGCUAAAAAAUUUAGCUCAUGUUCGACUCAUUUUCUAAAUGAGUGAUUCGAUCUCGAGCUCAUUUCGAGUUGGACACGAGCUAGUUCGCAAACAGUGAGCUGGAUUGCCACCCGUAAUACCAGUCACU